rnacentral:rRNA from 1 species
GUGCCAGCAGCCGCGGUAAUACGUAGGGGGCAAGCGUUGUCCGGAAUUACUGGGCGUAAAGGGAGCGUAGGCGGUCUUUUAAGUUAGAUGUGAAAUACCCGGGCUCAACUUGGGAGGUGCAUCUAAAACUGGGGGACUUGAGUGCAGGAGAGGAAAGUGGAAUUCCUAGUGUAGCGGUGAAAUGCGUAGAUAUUAGGAGGAACACCAGUGGCGAAGGCGACUUUCUGGACUGUAACUGACGCUGAGGCUCGAAAGCGUGGGGAGCAAACAGGAUUAGAAACCCCAGUAGUCC